GGACGUACUUCUUCACCCCAUUUAAGUGUUUAACUCGUCACCCAUACAACACCAAAUGGAAUAAAAAAACAACAUAUGCGCACUUUGCUAUUUCGAUCGAAACCGCAACUCGAAUCUCUCAACAGCAUGUUGACAAUAUCUGGAGGAUGCCUUUUUUACUAAAAGAGGGAUAUGAUUCAAAUGCCCUAGUCCACCACUCGAACUCCUAUAAGGCUAUAACUACGCAUAUCUCGCUGCCUCGAACACAGAUUCUCUUUCUUUCUACACUUUUAGAGAAGGAAUCACAGGAAUACAUCAGAAAAGGAGAAAAUUAUAAAUCGAGAAAGAUGGCAGCCGGCAAUGGCACCGGCGAUCGCAUCAAGCCACCAACACUGGUACCCUUGUUGGAAACUUCACCACCAAACAUCGACUUGGAUUCGAAAACCCCUGACCAGGACCUCGAACUCUCGUUCCAACAACGGUUCUUCAUCGAAUCCAAAAAGCUAUGGCACAUAGUCGGCCCCACCAUCUUCAGCCGUAUAUCCGCCUACACCAUGCUGGUCAUCACCCAAGCCUUCGCCGGCCAUCUUGGCGAUCUGGAGCUCGCCGCCGUCUCCAUUGCCACCAAUGUUAUCGUCGGCUUUGACAUCGGCCUCUUGUUGGGUAUGGCAAGUGCUUUAGAGACUUUAUGUGGCCAAGCAUAUGGAGCCAAAAACUAUCGAAUGUUGGGAGUGUAUCUACAACGCUCAUGGAUCGUACUUUUCAUAUGUUGUAUACUCCUUCUCCCCUUAUACAUCUUCGCUUCACCGGUGCUGAAACUCAUGGGACAACCGGACGACAUAUCUGAGCUCUCCGGUAGGAUGUGCAUGAGUUUGAUACCACUCCAUUUCAGCCUUUGCUUUCAGUUCACACUACAAAGGUUUCUUCAGUGUCAGCUUAAGACGCAUGUCAUUGCAUAUGUAUCAAUGGGGACACUGGUGCUUCAUUCGGUGUUGAGUUGGCUGGUUGUGUAUAGAUUUCAGCUGGGGUUGUUUUGGACGGUGGUUAUGCUUAAUUUCUCGUGGUGGCUGAUUGUUUUGGGGAUGUUCUGUUACUCUGUGUUCGGUGGUUGCCCGGAAACUUGGGGUGGGUUUUCCAUGGAAGCGUUUAAUGGAUUAUGGUCGUUUUUCAAACUCUCCGCUGCUUCCGGCGUCAUGUUGUGUUUGGAAAACUGGUACUACAGGAUUUUGAUCGUGAUUACAGGCAACUUGGAGGACGCAAAGAUUGCUGUGGAUGCUUUGUCAAUAUGCAUGUCUAUCAAUGGUUUGGAACUCAUGAUCCCUCUUGGAUUCUUUGCUGGAACAGGAGUAAGGGUUGCAAACGAGUUAGGAGCAGGAAACGGGAAAGGUGCUAGAUUUGCCACCAUAGUUUCCGUUGCAACAUCUGCAGUGAUAGGUGUCUUCUUCUGGAUCUUGAUCAUGUUAUUCCACAAUGAGCUUGCAUUAAUAUUCACCACCAGUGAACCUGUGUUGCAUGCCGUAAGUAAACUUUCAGUCCUAUUGGCCUUCACCAUUCUCCUCAAUAGCAUUCAACCCGUUCUUUCAGGUGUUGCGGUUGGUUCUGGAUGGCAGGCAUAUGUAGCAUACAUAAACUUAGGUUGCUACUACUUGAUAGGUGUCCCCAUGGGAGUUGCCAUGGGGUGGUUUUUCCAUCUUGGCGUCAUGGGUAUUUGGGCUGGAAUGAUCUUCGGAGGGACUGCAGUUCAAACAGUCAUAUUGGCUAUCAUUACAAGUCGUUGUGAUUGGGAAAAAGAGGAACAAAGAGCAAGAAUGCAUUUGAAGAAAUGGGCAGUUGCUAAUUGACCAUGCAUGAAGAGUUCCUAUCCCUCUUAAAAUUUGGUACCAUUGGUCUCUUUCUUCAUUACAUUUGCUUUUGAUGAAAUAUUCUGGUGCGGAUAAUGGUUUGAUUGUGCUGUUGAAGAAUUAUGGAAAUAAAUAUUACAGAAUUGAAGUAAUCAAACAAAAACCAAGAGAGAUGCCAGAGAAUAUAAUGCUACAAAUUUUAUGACCCAAUUGUAAUUUUCUUAUGUAUUUGUCAAAAAAACUUCUUCCAUUUACACAGAACCAAUAAUAGAAUGCUGUUGAAAUUGGUAAUA